GUUCUCUGGAGAACAGGAUGACUAAGCUGUUAGCAGCCAACGUUGACAGCAGCUGGGGAAAGGCCCCUGAGACUGAUGAGAAAACUGAACCUAUAAGAGGAAAUAUGUAACAAGAGGAAUUUUGACCUGGAGUUCCAAGCCUGCUACUUCUUAUUCUGUAUCACCAUGCUUUUUUCAACAACUCGUAAAGAGUGCUCGAAAUAUUUCAGUUUAAUUUUAAAGGCAUAACUAGUUACAAAGGAACUUAAAAGUGGCUGUCCGAGUGGCACAUUGGUUAAGAGCUGGCUUGGGACGCCAGCUCUGAGCAGCAGGGCCCCGGUUC